rnacentral:tRNA from 1 species
GGAGGGGUGGCCGAGUGGUUGAAGGCAGUGGUCUUGAAAACCACCGUGCGCAAGCACCGCAGGUUCGAAUCCUGUCCCCUCCGCCA